rnacentral:rRNA from 2 species
UCUUUAGAAGUAAAAGUCGUAACAAGGUUUCCGUAGGUGAACCUGCGGAAGGAUCAUUAAAGAUUCUAAGGCUUCGGUCUUAAUUUCGGCUGUGCGCUCAGGCUGCACGCCGUUAACCUCUCACACCUGUGCACCUUUUCGGUUGCGGUUUCGGCCGCUUCCGCUUUUACAUGCAACCACGAAAAGUCUAGAAUGUGACGAGAACUAUAAAGUAACAACUUUCAACAACGGAUCUCUUGGCUCUCGCAUCGAUGAAGAACGCAGCGAAAUGCGAUAAGUAAUGUGAAUUGCAGAAUUCAGUGAAUCAUCGAAUCUUUGAACGCACCUUGCGCUCCUUGGUAUUCCAUGGAGCAUGCCUGUUUGAGUGUCACGUAAACCCUCACCCCUGCGAUGUAACAGUCGCCUGCGGUGGACUUGGACCGUGCCGGUAAUCGGCUCGUCUUGAAAUGCAUUAGCUGGUGCUUUUAGAGUGCUGGGCGAACGGUGUGAUAAUUAUCUGCGCCGACUGCCCUGGGCCUCUUCAGCGGCGCUGCUUACAGCCGUCCCUUGUGGACAACUAUUUUAAAGCUUUGGCCUCAAAUCAGGUAGGACUACCCGCUGAACUUAAGCAUAUCAAUAAGCGGAGGAAAAGAAACUAACAAGGAUUCCCCUAGUAACGGCGAGUGAAGCGGGAUGAGCUCAAAUUUGAAAUCUGGCGGUCUCAGGCCGUCCGAGUGUAAUCUAGAGACGUAUGG